UACAGAGGUCUCAAGCGUUGUUCGGAUUCAUUGGGCGUAAAGGGUGCGUAGGUGGCGGGGUAAGUCAGGUGUGAAAUUUCGGAGCUUAACUCCGAAACUGCAUUUGAUACUGCCUUGCUUGAGGACUGGAGAGGAGACUGGAAUUCACGGUGUAGCGGUGAAAUGCGUAGAUAUCGAGAGGAACACCUGCGGCGAAGGCGGGUUGCUGGGCUGACACUGACGCUGAGGCGCGAAAGCCAGGGGAGCGAACGGG
rnacentral:rRNA from 1 species